AUACAGAGGGUGCAAGCGUUAAUCGGAUUUACUGGGCGUAAAGCGCGCGUAGGUGGCUAAUUAAGUCAAAUGUGAAAUCCCCGAGCUUAACUUGGGAAUUGCAUUCGAUACUGGUUAGCUAGAGUAUGGGAGAGGAUGGUAGAAUUCCAGGUGUAGCGGUGAAAUGCGUAGAGAUCUGGAGGAAUACCGAUGGCGAAGGCAGCCAUCUGGCCUAAUACUGACACUGAGGUGCGAAAGCAUGGGGAGCAAACAGGAUUAGAUACCCUGGUAGUCCAUGCCGUAAACGACGUCUACUAGCCGUUGGGGCCCUUGAGGCUUUAGUGGCGCAGCUAACGCGAUAAGUAGACCGCCUGGGGAGUACGGUCGCAAGACUAAAACUCAAAUGAAUUGACGGGG
rnacentral:rRNA from 1 species